UACGGGAGGCAGCAGUGGGGAAUAUUGCACAAUGGGCGAAAGCCUGAUGCAGCUAUGCCGCGUGUAUGAAGAAGGCCUUAGGGUUGUAAAGUACUUUCAUCGGGGAGGAAAAACAAAACUAAUAAUUUUAUUUCUUGACGUUACCCGAAAAAGAAGCACCGGCUAACUCCGUGCCAGCAGCCGCGGUAAUACGGAGGGUGCUAGCGUUAAUCAGAAUUACUGGGCGUAAAGAGCACGUAGGUGGUUUUUUUAAAGUCAGAUGUGAAAUCCCUGGGCUUAACCUGGAACUGCAUUUUGAAACUGAAAUACUAGAGUAUCGUAGAGGGAGGUAGAAUUCUAGGUGUAGCGGUGAAAUGCGUAGAUAUCUGGAGGAAUACCUGUGGCGAAAGCGGCCUCCUAAACGAAUACUGACACUGAGGUGCGAAAGCGUGGGGAGCAAACAGGGAUUAGAUACCCGU
rnacentral:rRNA from 1 species